rnacentral:misc_RNA from 1 species
UUUAUAAGUAGAAUAUAGUCAACCAAAGUACUACACCAUGACUAAAUCAUUUGUUAUUCAAUAACAGCAUUAGUUAAUAACAUUUCUAAUACAGCAACAGGAAAAGUUCAUAGAAAACAUCUUUCCUGAUUAGCCUAAUUAAACUGAAAACAUUCCAUUCUAUGCUAAACUACAAGCAAGUUCAGGUAGAUAAAACAUACAAGUGAUUUCUUUUGUGAACCUUUUCAGUAGAAGGCACUACUACCAUAAAACACUCUUGGGCUUUGGCCAUUUGGGCGCGUCUGUGGUCUCUCACUUGAACUAGAGUUCUCUGUUUUGUCAUUUCCAUUUUCAAUGUCUAGAGGAAGUUUCAUCUUUUCUAGAGCUUCAGUGAAUUGCUGCAUACUUUUCUUAUAUAUAUCAACUAUAUCUUGCUGCACAACCUGCUUCUCUGGUACAAUGCUCACGUUGACAACUGGCAGCGUAAACGUGCUAAUAGGCUUAACAGAUGAGGUGCUAUCAACCUCUUUAGCACUGUCUUUAGUAUCAUCCAAAGGCAGUGCAGAUUCCUCCUCCGUAGCGGUUGAUGUCUGUUUGGGGUUUGAGUUUGAUGGAGAACUUUUGGCUGAAGCACUCAGGGUGAGAGUCUCUACCUUCUUGAUUUCAGUGGCAUCUUGACCUUCAACAGCCACACUUUCUGGUGUAAUCUGAACGUUUUCAGAAGAGAUGUGUCCACCAUUUUCUUUGGAGUCUAUAUGCUCAGAGCUUUGACCAUCCAAUUCAGUGCAGGGAAUUGCAUAGUACUCGGUAACCAUUCGUUCAUUUUCGUUCACAAUUUGGGGAUCCGGGAAUUCAAUCUUAACCAGUUCACAAGGAAUACUCUCAGCUAUUUCAUCAGCAUUUGCUGCAGCCAAAGAAUGGCCUGGUGUGGGAAUUUCCAAG